CAGCUUGUCGCCCUUUCCCGGAGGCUGGCAGAUGCGCGUGGUGCGGCUGCUGCGGCUCCGGGCGGCUCUGACGCUGCUCGGGGAGGUCCCCCGCCGCCCGGCCUCCCGGGGUGUCCCGGGCUCGCGCAGGACGCAGAAGGGCAGUGGAGCCAGGUGGGAGAAGGAGAAGCACGAAGACGGGGUGAAGUGGAGACAGCUGGAGCACAAGGGCCCGUACUUCGCACCCCCAUACGAGCCCCUUCCUGAUGGAGUGCGUUUCUUCUAUGAAGGAAAGCCCGUGAGAUUGAGCGUGGCAGCAGAGGAGGUCGCCACUUUUUAUGGGAGGAUGUUAGGUCAUGAAUACACAACAAAGGAGGUUUUCCGGAAGAACUUCUUCAAUGACUGGCGAAAGGAAAUGGCAGUGGAAGAGAGGGAAGUCAUCAAGAGCCUGGACAAGUGUGACUUCACGGAGAUCCACAGAUACUUUGUGGACAAGGCCGCAGCCCGGAAAGUCCUGAGCAGGGAGGAGAAGCAGAAGCUAAAAGAAGAGGCAGAAAAACUUCAGCGAGAGUUCGGCUACUGUAUUUUAGAUGGUCACCAAGAAAAAAUAGGCAAUUUCAAGAUUGAGCCGCCUGGCUUGUUCCGUGGCCGUGGCGACCAUCCCAAGAUGGGGAUGCUGAAGAGAAGGAUCAUGCCAGAGGAUGUGGUUAUCAACUGCAGCAGGGACUCGAAGAUCCCCGAGCCGCCGGCGGGGCACCAGUGGAAGGAGGUGCGCUCCGAUAACACCGUCACGUGGCUGGCAGCUUGGACCGAGAGCGUUCAGAACUCCAUCAAGUACAUCAUGCUGAACCCUUGCUCGAAGCUGAAGGGGGAGACAGCUUGGCAGAAGUUUGAAACAGCUCGACGCCUGCGGGGAUUCGUGGACGAGAUCCGCUCCCAGUACCGGGCUGACUGGAAGUCUCGGGAAAUGAAGACGAGACAGCGGGCGGUGGCCCUGUAUUUCAUCGAUAAGCUGGCGCUGAGAGCAGGAAAUGAGAAGGAGGACGGUGAGGCGGCCGACACCGUGGGCUGCUGUUCCCUCCGCGUGGAGCACGUCCAGCUGCACCCGGAGGCCGAUGGCUGCCAACACGUGGUGGAAUUUGACUUUCUGGGGAAGGACUGCAUCCGCUACUACAACAGAGUGCCGGUGGAGAAGCCGGUGUACAAGAACUUACAGCUCUUUAUGGAGAGCAAGGGCCCCCGGGACAACCUCUUCGACAGGCUGACCACGACCAGCCUGAACAAGCACCUCCAGGAGCUGAUGGACGGGCUGACGGCCAAGGUGUUCCGGACCUACAACGCCUCCAUCACUCUGCAGGAGCAGCUGCGGGCCCUGACGCGCGCUGAGGACAGCAUAGCAGCUAAGAUCUUAUCCUACAACCGAGCCAACCGAGUCGUGGCCAUUCUCUGCAACCAUCAGCGAGCGACCCCCAGUACAUUUGAGAAGUCGAUGCAGAAUCUCCAGACGAAGAUCCAGGCAAAGAAGGAGCAGGUGGCUGAGGCCAGGGCAGAGCUGAGGAGGGCAAGGGCUGAGCACAAAGCCCAAGGGGAUGGCAAGUCCAGGAGUGUCCUGGAGAAGAAGAGGCGGCUCCUGGAGAAGCUGCAGGAGCAGCUGGCGCAGCUGAGUGUGCAGGCCACGGACAAGGAGGAGAACAAGCAGGUGGCCCUGGGCACGUCCAAGCUCAACUACCUGGACCCCAGGAUCAGCAUUGCCUGGUGCAAGCGGUUCAGGGUGCCAGUGGAGAAGAUCUACAGCAAAACACAGCGGGAGAGGUUCGCCUGGGCUCUCGCCAUGGCAGGAGAAGACUUUGAAUUCUAACGACGAGCCGUGUUGAAACUUCUUUUAGGCCUGAGGCUGGAGGAUCGCUUGAGCAGACAUUGAGGGUGCAGUGAGCUGUGAUUGUGCCCCUGCACUCCAGCCUGGGCAACAGAGCAAGACCCCAUCUCAAAGAGAAAGAAAAGUCCCUGACGCCUGCCGUGUCCUUUGAAGCCUCUACCCCGAGCAUGGAGUCUGCUGGGCUGUCACAUCCAAUCAGCGUCCCAGCCUGGACCCCCGGUUCCCGCUCGACAGGGGAGGAGAAACACCUUCGUGUGCUCUGAGGCUGAGGACUUUGGAUGCUUUAGGUACUGAUUUUCUCCUCUCUGCCUGGCUGGAACAUCCGUCUGCAUCGGACAGGCUUCCUUCUGCACCUGUGACCUCACAAGGGCUCUCCUUGGGGAUGCAGGACCAGAGCAGCCCUGAGCAACCGAGCACAGCCAAGGAACAGGCCCCAGGGAGGCCAGGACCCAGGUCCUCACGCCUGCGGCCACAGAAGCACCGUGUCCCUGCAGCUGUGAGCCACCAGGCGUCUGGGUGGGUGGUUACUCAGCACGUGCCAGUAGAGAAACUGGGUCCCAGAGUUGGGGUUGCUGUGGACUGGAUACUUGUCCCCCACCUCCAGUUCACAUGUUAAAGUCCUCACCCCCAGCAAGACAGUGUUGCAGGUGGGGCCUUUGGGAGGGGAGCAGGUUGAGAGAAGAUCCUGGGGGACCCUCACGAUGAGAUGAGCGCCCUCAUGGGAAGAGACACCGGAGCCUCCUCUCCAGGAGCACACACGGGGACAGCCACAUGAGCAAGAGGCUGCUGUCCGUAAGCUGGGGGUGGUCCCUCAACAGGAACUGGGUCUGUGGCACCUGGAGGCUGGACUCCCAGCCUGCAGAGCUGGGAGAAAGAAAUGUCUGCUGUGAAGCCAGUCGGUCUGUGGAAUUUUGACACAGCAGCCUCGUCUAAGACAGGUGCCGGCAGAGCCACCUCGUCUAAGACAGGUGUUGGCAGAGCCACCUCGUCUAAGACAGGUGCCGGCAGAGCCACCUCGUCUAAGACAGGUGCCGGCAGAGCCACCUCGUGUAAGACAGCUGUUGGCAGAAGCAACACCUAAGACGCAGUGCACUGACUGUGAGUGCAGUCUGGGGCUGGAGGCCAGAAACACGGGGAGGAGGCUAUUAGCAGAGGAAACCAUGAUUAGGUAGUAGUGAAAAAUUUGGGUGGAAAAAAAUUGCCUUUGGGCAGGUGCUGUGGCCCGUGCCUCUAAUCCCAGCACUUUGGAAGGCCAAGGUGGGUGGAUCACCUGAGGUCAAGAGUUCAAGACCAGCCUGGCCAACAUGGCAAAACCCUGUCUCUACUAAAACUACAAAAAUUAGCCAGGCGUGGUGGCGGGCACCUGUAAUCCCAGCUGCUCAGGAGGCUGAGACAGGAGAAUCACUUGAACCCGGGAGGCAGAGGCUGCAGUAAGCCGAGAUCGCACCACUGCACUCCAGCCUGAGAAACAGAACCAGACUCUGUCUCAAAAAAAAAAAAAAAAAAAAAAUUGCCUUCAGUAACUUGGAAAUUAGAAAAUGGACCCAGCUAAGCAGAGCUCCAGACAGAGUGGGAAAAAUGUCAGCGGAACGCUCCUCAUGGCACUGGUGAGGCCUGCGAGCGUGAAAUGUGUGAAAGGAGGGAUCGUCUAGUCUGCAGGCGGAAUCUGGAGGACACAGAGCCGGGGCCUGAACUGGCUUGGGAAACAAAACCAUCUCACAUCUUGUCUCUGCAGUCAGCAAAGCAUUUUCUUUUAAAAGUUGUUUUAAAUUUACUUUUAUUUUUUAGAGACAAGAUCUCCCUAUAUUGCUCAAGGGAUCCUCCUGCCUCAGCAUCCUGAUCAUUUGGGACUGUAGGGUGUAUCACCACUGCCUGCAAAGAAUUCAAGUAGUAAGUGGCCUCAGGAUAAAGAUAAAAUCAAGGUUGUGGCCAUAUCCAUUGUCAAGGCCCCAGAAAGGUUUACUAUGUUGGGGCUGGGUGUGGUGGCUCACACCUGUAAUCCCCGCCCUUUGGGAGGCUGAGGUGGGAGGCCAGGAGUUCAAGGCUGUUGUGAACUGAUUGCACCACUGCACUCUAGCCUGAGUAACAGAGCAAGAGCCUGUCUCUAAAAAAAAAAGAAAAAAAUAUGCUGGAAGAUAGUAUAUAGUACCAAUCCUCUCAGCUAGACAAAAGUGUUUCUAAGACCCUAAAGGAUGUUUUCCCACAACAUGCUAACACAUCAUAUGAAACAGAGAAAACACUGACAAAUGUUUAAGUGUAUUUUUUGUCUAGUGGAGAAUAUAAUCUAAGAAACCCACAAGAUUUUGUUUGUUUGUUUUUUUGAGAUGGAGUCUCGCUCUUCUGCCAGGCUAGAGGGCAGUGGCGCGAUCUCGGCUCACUGCAACCUCUGCCUCCUGGGUUCAAGUGAUUCUCCUGCCUCAGCCUCCUGAGUAGCGGGGACUACAGGUGCGUACCACCACACCCAGCUAAAUUUUGUCAUUUUAUCAGGGACGGGGUUUCACCUUGUUGGCCAGGAUGGUCUCAAUCUCUUGACCUCGUGAGCCGCCCACCUUGGCCUCACAGAGUGCGGGAUACAGGCGUGAGCCACCGCGCCCGGCCCGAAACCCACCAGAUUUUUAAGGGCAUUGUGUCAGUUUAAAUGAACAGAGAUGGAAACAGCUGAAAAUGAAGCCUUUGGGUUCCCUCCUUCUACAGGCAGUAAGCAGCUAAGAAAGCUGCUUAGCCUCAAAUACAGGCUAUCGGACAUCUAAAAACACAGAGGAGAGAGACGAAGGGCAGAGCCAAAAUCUGAGGGAAAAAAAAAAGGAUAAUAAUGUCACUUCCAGGGAAAAUGAGGCCCUAAAAAAGACACAGACUCUGCCCCCUUAAUGAGGUCCCGUGGCAACAUGCUGUUGACUGAGUCACAAAAGUACUACAGACUGGGGUCUGCAGUGGACGAGCCCCCACCUCUCUUUUUCAAACGAGAGAGUUACUGUGCUUAUCCUGGGCCUGUCUCAAAAUCCUGUGCUGGGGCAGAGGCAGGUAAUUUUUUCUUUAGUUUAUAGCCUCAAGAGGCAUCUCACACACAUCUGGACCAGAGGAGAAUCAUGAGCUGAUGGCCUCUGAGCUGAGACAGCAGCAGGAAGAGACCUCUGGGUGGCUUGAGUGGGGGGUGGCGAGCACAUUUCACUUGUGGAAGGAAAGUAAGUCACUGUGGCUCCAGAGUGGACCGUGGGAAAUAUCGGACGGUCCCAGGACACGCGGCUCUCUCUGCCCAGCCCUGGGGCUCCGUUGUCACGUGGGGAUGCCCCUCACCACUUUUUUUCUAUGAAACCCCAUUUACAAGAUUCCACUUCUUCCUUUUUUUUUUUUUUUUUUUAGACGGAGUCUUGCUUUGUCACCAGGCUGGAGUGCAGUGGUGUGAUCUUGGCUCACUGCAACCUCCGCCUCCCGGGUUCCAGCGAUUCUCCUGCCUCAGCCUCCUGAGUAGUGGGGACUACAGACACGCACCAUCACACCCAGCUAAUUUUUGUAUUUUUUAGUAGAGGCGGGGUUUCACCAUAUUGGACAGGCUGGUCUCGAACUCCUGACCUCGUGAUCCACCUGCCUCAGCCUCCCAAAGUGCUGGGAUUACAGCACAGUGGCCAGCCCCUUCUUCCUCUUUCUUGGUUUGCUCCCUUGAUUUGGAGCUCCUCCUUUAGUAGGCUCCUGAAAACAUGUAUUUUGAAAAUGAAUUUUUAAAAGUAAGAGUUUGCAUAUCUGAAAAUGUUGUCAUACUGUCACACUUGACUGACCACUUGGGUAGGUAUAAAGUUCUAGGUUGCAAAUUAUUUUCACUUGUAAUUUUCGAAGCAUUGUUCUGUCGUUUUCUAACUUCCAAUCUGCCCUUGGGAAGGGAUUUAUUCCUCAGCCUGUGUGUGUGAUCUGCGCUCUCAGAUCGUCUCUAUGUCCUGGACUGUCUGAUGUUUCACGUCAUGCCUGGAUGUAGGUCGUUCCUUCCAUCUUUGUGCGAGAUAUCAGUAGGUGCUUUUACUCUGGAGAUUCAUGUUUCUCGGUUCUGGGGGAAAAUUAUUUCUCUAAUAACUUCCUUCCCACCAUUUUCUGUUUUUGUUUUCCCCUCCUUGGAAUUCCUGUUAGUCUUAAUCUUUCUAUCCUGUCACCCACCUUCUUGUCUUUUCAUUCUUUCAAACAGAUUUUCUCCACUUUCCACCUUCUUGCUAAUUUAAUUUUGCCCAUUACAUUUCCAUCUCUAAGACAUUUUUAUUAUUUUUUAAUUUUUUUCGAGGUGGAGUCUCACUGAGCCUGAGUGACACCCAGGCUGGGAGUCAGCGGUGUGAUCUUGGCUCAGUGCAGCCUCCGCCUCUCAGGUUGAGUGACGCCCAGGCUGGAGUUGGUGGCACGAUCUUGGCUCACUGCAACCUCUGCCUCCCAGGUUGAGUGAAGUCCAGGCUGGAGUGCGGUGGCGCAAUCUCGGCUCACUGCAGCGUCCGCCUUCCAGGUUCAAGCGAUUCUCGUGCCUCAACCUCCCAAGUAGCUGGGAUUACAGGCGCAGACCACCACACUUGGCUAAUUUUUGUAUUAUUAAUAGAGAUGGAGUUUUGUCAUGUUGGCCAGGCUGGUCUCGAACUCCUGACUUCAAGUGAUCCGCCCGUCUCUGCCUCCCGAAGUGUUGGGAUUACAGGGGUGAGCGACCACGCCUGGCCCAUCAUUAUUUUUGAGUUUCCUUUUUAAAACAAUGUUCUGGGCUUCACAUGGCACCUGAGCUUGCCUUUCCUCCCCCUGGUUGACUCACGCCUCCCUCCUGUCUGUCUUCAUGUGUGUGACUCUGGGUCACGGAUUUUCCUCCUAAUCUUUAUGUGUGUUUGCGUGUAUGACAGUCUCAGUCUGUCACGCAGGCUGGAGAGCAGUGGCGCAAUCUUGGCUCACUGCAACCUCCGCCUCCCAGGUUCAAACCAUUCUCCUGUCUCAGCCUCCCGAGUAGCUGAGAUUACAGGCAUGCACCACCACAACUGGCUGAUUUUUGUAUUUUUAGUAGAGACGGGGUUUCACCAUGUUGGCCAGGCUGGUCUCAAACCCCUGACCUCAGGUGAUCCACCCACCACGGCCUCCCAAAGUGCUGGGAUUACAGGCAUGAGCCACUGCACCCAGUCCUAAGCUUUACCUGUCAACCGGCAAUUCUAUACAGCUUACUGUGGUUAGGGACAUAUUUAGUUUUGUUUCCACCAUCUUAAUUUGCCCAGUUUGUUUCUGAUUUUUUUUCUUUUUUGAGAGAGGGUCUCACUCUUUUGCCCAGGCUGGAGUGUAGUGGUGUGACUACAGCUCACUGCAGUCUCGAGCUCCCGGGCUCAGGUGAUCCUCCCACCUCAGCCUCCUAGGUGGCUGGAACUAUAGGCUUACUUACUGUAUUUUUUGUAGAGACAGGUUCUCCCCAUGUUGCCCAGGCUGGUUUCGAACUCCUGGGCUUAAGCGAUCCACCCACCUUGGCCUCCAAAGUGCUGGGAUUACAGGUGUGAGCCACAGCACUCAGGCCCAGCCUGAUUUUUUUUCUUAUUUUUUAAUUGACAGAAGUUUGUGUUCAGUUCAUUUAUUUAUUUUAUGGGCUCUCACUGUGUUGUCCAGUCUGGAGUGCAGCGGCACAAUCACAGCUCACUGCUGCCUCAAACUCCUGGUCUGAGGAUCCAAGCCGAGAUCCUCCUGCCUCAGUCUCCCAAGCAGCUGGGACUACAUUUUAAAUCACAGUGUUUUAUUCUUUUUAUUGGAUUAGAGAUGUAUAGACUGGUUACACUCUUUUAGUAAUUAACAUUAAAUUACACUAUGCACAUUUAACUUAUCAAAGUCAAAUUAAACACUAUCUUACACCCUCUUCCCAACAACCGGAGGGUCUUAGAACAUUUCUGUCCCUUCUAAUUUACAUGCUAUUGUUGUCUAGUAUUUUAGUUGACACUAUUCUUUUAUAUAUACAUAUGUAUUCAUAUUUAUAAUUUUAUUUGCUUGCCAUUCCAUCUUAUAUCUAAGACCAUCACUCGGCUCAUUUUCCUUUAUUUAUUUAUUUUUUUAAGAUGGAGUUUUGCUCUUUUUGCCCAGGCUGGAGUGCAAUGGCGUGAUCUCGGCUCACUGCAUCUUCUGCCUCCCAGGUUCAAGGGAUUCUCCUGCCUCAGCUGCCCGAGUAGCUGGGAUUACAGAUGUGGGCCACCAUGCCCAGCUAAUUUUGUAUUUUUAGUAGAAAUGGGGUUUUGCCAUGUUGGCCAGGGUGGUCUCAAACUCCUGACCUCAGGUGAUCCACUGCCUCAGCCUCCCAAAGUGCUGGAAUUACAGGCGUGAGCCACCAUGCCCAGCCCUAUGUUGCCUAGGCUGGUCUUGAACUCCUAGGCUCAAGUGAUCCUCCCCCUUAGGCCUCCCAAAGUGUUGGGAUUAUAGGCAUGAACCACUGCACCUGGCCUGUUUUUCAUUUCCAAAAGUUCUUUAAGGAGUCCUGCCUAUUCACGCAUGACAGUAUGUACCCUACAGCUUUCUCAUCACUGACUGCGCGACUUCUUUGAACACCUCACACAUAACUAUCCUCUCACCUGUAUGAUGACAGUUUCAGGAUCUGCGUUUCUUUGUGGCUGACAGCGGCUGCCUGCUGUUUCUGUUGGCCCUCAGUCAGCUGACUCUCCUUGUGUGCUUGGGGAUCUUUGCAAGCUGAAUGCCUGACUUAACGAGCAGGGAUGAGGCUAAGCCAGGUAAGCUUCCUUCAGGGAGCAGGUGCUUUGACCGCUACUGGUACCUGAGGAUCUUGGCUCAGCAUGGGAGACACAGGCUCAUCUUCCCACCUCACCACCGGCCCAGGGGUCAGGAGCUUAAUUAACGGUGGGGCCAUCAAAUCCAUUCUGAGAGCACCCCUGCCCCUACAGGCUGCACAACCCUAAGCUCAUGCAUUUUAACAAAAUCGGUGCCAAGAGCCCUCAAAGCAACUGUCUUGGAAGCGGCAGCCAGCUCAGGACCCAGAAUUCUUCCCAAUUAGUCCUUACCUGGGCAGAGAACUGCAGGAGGUGGUCACAAGCCACACCCAGACCAGGAUGGGCGAAUCCUGCCACUGCACCCCAGGGCUCACGGCCAGUAGGCAGCUCACAUUUCCCUGUCAUCCCAAGAAACUCAAAGCCCACCUCGCUUAAUUCAUGAUGACAGAGCUUUACUAUACGCCCCCAAAAACGCUCCCCAAAGAGACACUUCUACUUUUCUAUCUAGAACAUAACAUUUUAAAAAAUGAAAAUAUUUUACAGGAAAUAACAUUUGUACAUACUCAUAACAGUCUCAAAGAGAAAACGAUUCCUCUACCCACAGAACGCUUCUGAGAUCACAUGUGUGUAAGCCUUUCCCUCCACACCAACCAGCUCUCCAACUCUCUCUCAGACACCAACGCGAUGUCCUACAAUUUAACUCGAUUCUGUCACCAAUUGCCCGGAGCUAGUGCAGAACCCACAGGGUAAGGGGUCAGUCCCACAAGACCACCCCCACUUCAGAUGCCAAGUGCAGACGGUGGGCCCCGGGGACCCCACGACCCCCUUCUCAGGUUCCAUAAUUUUUUUUUUUUGAGAUGGGUCUCUCUGUCGCCCAGGCUUAAAGUACAGUGCCCAGAUCUCCGCUCACUGCAACCUCCGCCUCCCAGGUUCAAGUGAUUCUCCUGCCCCAGGCUCCCAAGUAGCUGAGAUUACAGGCGCACGCCACCACGCCCAAUUAAUUUUUUGUAUUUUUAGUCGAGAUGGGGGUUUUGCCAUGUUGGCCAGGAUGGUCUUGAUCUCUUGACCGUGUGAUCCGCCCGCCUCGGCCUCCCAAAGUGCUAGGAUUACAGGCGGGAGCCACCGCACCCGGCCAAGUUCCAUAAUUUUCUAAGCACACAGAAGUCGGGACCAUAUGAAUCGGCUGUGAAAAGGCGUUGAAAUACAUGGAUGAACCACCGACCCGCAAGGUACGGGGGAGGACGCGAGGCUUCCAUGCCCUGUCUGGGCGCCCCCUUCCUAACUGCCCCCCCACCCCGCCUUCACCAACCCGAAGCCCGAGGCCCUCAUCUCAUGCAGGGUUUUGAUGGAGGCCUGGUUGCGGAGGAAUGACCGAUUCAAUCACCGGCCACUGCCCCGCAGCAGCUGACCGUGGGAGGCGGGGAGUCUCGGAGACGGGCGGCCGGCCCGGGACAGACCCCUGAGACCUCCCCGCCUCUGGGAAUCGCCUCCCGCGGGCGGCGCUCGCCUUCCCCGAGCCCUGCCUCUCCUGAGUGCUCCCAAGCCAAGGCGGAUGCAGGCCUGGCGAGGCUUUCGCAGCCCGAGAACCAGGCGCGCAGCCGGCUGUUACUUCCUCACCGCGCACGGGGCGGACAGGAGCCUCCCCCGGCCUCGGCCUCGCGCCCACCAGGCCGCCCGCAUCUCUUCCGCCGCAGCCCCGGCUCACUCGGCGCCAUGCACCCGCCGGUGCUGGAUGAGGUGGAAGCUCAGGCGGAAGGCGCGGCCGCACUCGGUGCAGCGGAACGGCUUCUCGCCCGUGUGGAGCCGCUGGUGCCGGAAGAAGCCCGACAGCGCCCGGAACGCGCGCCCGCAGUGGCCGCACUGGUGGGGCUUCUCCCCGCUGUGGAUGCGGCGGUGCUCGCGGAGGAAGGAGCUGCGGCUGAAGGCGCGGCCGCAGUCCUGGCAGGCGAAGGGCCGCUCCCCCGUGUGCACGCGCUGGUGCUGGAGGAGGUUGGAGCUCUGGCUGAAGGCCUGGCCGCACUCCCGGCACUCGUACGGGUUCUCCCCGUGGUGGGUCCGCCGGUGCCGGACCACGUUCGAGCUGUGCAGGAAGCGCUUCCCGCACUCGCCGCACGCGUACAGCCUCUCCCCGGUGUGGGUGCGGCGGUGCUUGGCGGCGUCCGACCUCUGGCCGAAGGCCUUGCCGCAGUCGGCGCACGCGUAGGGCUUCUCGCCCGUGUGCACGCGCUGGUGCCGGAGGAGGUUGAAGCUCUGGCCGAAGGCCUUGCCGCAGUCGGCGCACGCGUAGGGCCUCUCCCCGCUGUGCGCCCGCUGGUGCCGGACCACGUGCGAGCUGUGGAUGAAGGCCUUCCCGCAGUCGCUGCACUCGUACGGUUUCUCCCCCGAGUGGAUGCUCCGGUGCUUUGCCGCGUCCGAGGAGCACUUGAAGCUGCGGCCACAGGCGCUGCACGGGAAAGGCCGCCCCUUCCAGCUGCCCCCGCCCUCUGCCCCGGGGCCUGCGUUCGGAGGGACGUCUGACUCGCGGCCACUCUGUCCUCCAGUUUUCUCAGAAAUGACCGGGCCUCGAGGGGAACCUCCGGGCCUCUCUCUGGCUUCCUCGUUUUCACAAAGGCCAAGAGACCCCAACGCCCGGGGAGGCCCCCCUCUGUGGCCCUCUCCCUCGGGAGCGCCUGCCUCUGCAGCAGGCUCCGUGCUCUGAGCUGCCUGCACCUCGGCUGACCGGCUGCCACUCGGGGCCUGCGCCAGGAAAGCAGCCUUCACAGCUGAAAAAGAGGCCAGACAGGAACGAUUUAGAUGUAAGAGAACGUGAGUCGAGGGUGGCUCUGGCAAUCGUGGUGACGACAGAGUGACAGUGAUGGUGACGUCAGUGUGCCACAGACACCUUUGAUUUUCCCAUUCAGUUCCCGCCUAGUUUUUUUUAGUUUUUUCUCCUCUCCACCUUCUUAACCCCCAUGGUUAUGAGGUAGACGAGAAUCCUGCACUGCCACUCCAGAAACGGGGAUGGGGACCGGGUGUGGGGACUCACACCUGUAUCUCCGCACUGUCGGAGGCUGAGGCAGGAGGACCACUUGAGACUUGGAGUUCAAGACCAGCCUGGCCAACAUAGUGAGAUCCUGUCUCUUAAAAAAUAGAAUUUUAAAAAUAUACAAACAGAAACGAGGCUAAACGGAGCUAGAAACAGGGCUAAACCUCUAGCCUCGGCCCACCCAGUCCUGGGAGGGGAGGGGACAGAAACGCAGGCUCUGGGCACUGCCUUACUCUGCGGGACAGCUGGGAAAGCAAAGGAGGCUGGAGACAGCUGGCAGCAAGCCAGGACGGGAGCGAGGCAGAUGCAGCAGGAAGCCCGGGGACAGUGGCACCCAACAGAGCCCACGGCCCAGCUCUGCCUUCUGUCUGUCCUUCCUUCCUUUCUUUCUUGUGAGCCAGGGUCUUGCUCUAUCACCCAGGCUGGAGUGCAGUGGUACCAUCAUGGCUCACUGCAGCCUCAGGGCUCAAGGGAUCCUCCCUCCGCCUCCCAAGUAGGUGGCGCACCUCCAGGUGAGCACCACCACACCAGGCUAUUUUAAAAAUUUUUUGUAGAGACAGUGUUGUCAAUGUGUUGCCCAGGCUGGUCUUGAACUCCUGGGCUCAACCCUCCUCCCACCUGAGCCUCCUAAAGUGCUGGGAUUACAGGUGUGAGCCACCACACCCAGCCAUGGCCCCAGCUCAUUCCUUUUACCUUGGACUCCCUGAGACAACGCGGACUCCUUAAAACUGCCCCCAAACACCAAACUCUAAGGGCUUCUGUUACGUGCAAACAGGAGCGUCCUCACUCAGACAGAAAUCUGGACCAAGAGGCCAGUCGCGGUGGCUCACGCCUGUAAUCCCAGCACUUUGGGAGGCUGAGGUAGGCAGAUCACGAGGUCAAGAGAUCAAGAUUAGGUGAAACCCUAUCUCUAAUAAAAAUACAAAAAUUAGCUGGGUGUGGUGGCGCACACCUGUAGUCCCAGCUACUUGAGAGGCUGAGGCAGAAGAAUCACUUGAAUCCAGGAGGUGGAGAUUGCAGUGAGCUGGCGCCACUGCACUCCAGCCUGGCGACAGAGCAAGACUUUGUCUUAAAAAAAAAAAAAAAAGAAAGAAAAGAAAAGAAAAGAAAUCCGGAACAAGAGCUGGAAGCAGCAACCCACGUCCCAUGUGGGCUGGGCAGCGGCGGCGCUGGCCAGGCUGAGCAACCCCAUCCAGGCUGCGUUAUCAAUGGCCCUUGUCUGGCAGUCAAGCCACUGGUUAGAUUUGGUUCCACUGGCUCACAGGGACAGACCAUGUGGCCAUUUAGAAAAAAGGCUUAAGGGGUAGGGGUGAAACCCUGGGACAUGAGAAAGCUGGCAACUGAGCUUGGCCUGCAUAGGAGGCAGGAGGGCUCAGCCAGGAGGGGCAGCAGGAGGAGGGGGGCCGCCAAGGCCAGCACAGCAACUGAGGGGGACUUCUCAGUCUGCAGGCAGUCCGCUGUGGCAGCAGAGGAGAAGCGGCUGAGUCCCGGCUGCACCUCUCAAGAAUGCGGAGGGCGCAGAUAAGACGGAAGCUCCUGUGGAGGUGGGGGUGGGGCAGGGAUGUUCCGGGGCAGAUGAGAGCAGGCUGCUGUCAACAGUCCCCACCUCUCUCUGCCCUUGCAGACCCUUGACACUGAGCAGCCAGGGGGCGGGAGACGCUCGGGGUGGCGCGCGGAACAGAAGCCCCUUGCAGAGGCCCAGCCCUGCUCUUGUGGCUUGCAGACUUGGAAGUUCAAGAACCGACUCAAAGGUAUUGCUUAUGAGGAAAAAGAACCAAGACUGUGGUGAGAAGGGGCCACAUACAUGGUGGAGCUCUACUGGAUCCAGCCUGCAGGCCCUGAGGACGCCUCUCCGAUGGAGGCAAUCCCAGACCCCACAGCAGGGCCUGCACUGCCCACGCCAUCUCCCGGGCUGUUGCUGUGACACACUCUCAGGGUGGCCCCAAAACAUAAAGCAGUGUUCUCAUGGGGGCGACUUUGUCCUGAGGGCACAUUUGACAAUGUGUGGAGAUGUUUUGGAUUGUCACAACUGGGAGGGGGCCCUACUGACACCAAGUGGGCAGAGGCGAGGGUGCUGCCCAACGUCCUACAACACACAGCAUGGCCCCUCAACAAAGACUCAUCCAUUCCAAAACAGCCACGGUGCCAAGGUUGAGAAGCACUGAGAGAGAGACCUUCCCAGAGGCAGAGCCUGGGGCUGCCAGACUUUCUAACCAAAAGCUCUCAGUUCACUGGCAAAGACAGUCAUCAAGCAGAUGCCCAAGAGAUCUGAUGGGCCUGCGUUUACCUCCCUCCCUCACCCUGCGCCCAAGGACACAGUAUAUGCUCUGCGUCAGUGACUGAGACAUGGUGUUUUUCCUGUAUUCCUGUUCAAUUCCUGCCCUGGAACUCUGGGCCCCACUGUGGACAUGUCCCCUCACCUGCAAGGGACUCCAUCAGGGUACUGCUCUCUUUAGCACCUGUGGGCUCUCCUCCUGGCUCCAUCUUGCAGAACACCAGCAGUUGGAACAAUUUCUGCUUAGGUAAAAGAAAAGGAAAAUAAAUCACAGCCAGGGCUAGGUACAGGGCCCAGGGGCAGUGAGGUCAGAAUGCCUUCAGAGGAAACUGUCAGAACAGGCCCUGUGGGAGCUGCAUCACCCAGCUGGGCCCACUCCUGUCACUAGCAAUCAAGGUCCUGGCUCAACAGACACUCCCAGAAGCGGGUGUUCUGUUCUGUGGGAUGCCCAGGAACUCUGGUCCAGGCUCUGCGGGUCCCCCUCCACCCAGGGCUGACGCAGAGCACAGGUGGGCGUGGCCACAGCUUCCUAGCUCCAUGCUGAGCAAGCCCGCACCCUCCAGCAGUCUUCAAAUGUCUAGAGAAAUUCCCAUGGGUUUUAAAAUUUUCUUGGUAGUUAUAAGGAUUUGAAUAUAAAAAUGUUAAACCAGAAAAAAAGAACAACUUAUUUGAAUGGUAAAGUUUUGGAAUGAGGAAUGAUUUUUCUAAGCCUGACAUCAGAUGUCUGACAAAUUCAACUACAUAAAAAAAUUUAAUGUAAAAAAACAAAAACCAAAAAGGGAGGAAUACGUGCAAUGCAAAGAUUCAUCCCUAUCUGAUAAAGACCUCUAUAUAUUAAUGAGAAAGGAAGGAAAAUUGGCAAAGAUCAUGAAUAGGUAACUCACAAAGAAGAAAAACCAGCAGGCAAUACAUUUUUUUAGGUCUCACCUCAAGUGCAAUUAAGAAAUGUAAUUUGGCUGGGUGCUGUGGCUCACAGUUGUAAUCCUAGCACUUCAAAAGGCUCAGGAUGGAGGACUGACUGAGUACAAGAGUUCCUGACCAGCCUGGGCAACAUAGUGAGACCCCGUCUCUACAAAAAAUCAAAAAAUUAGCCAGGUGUGAUGGUGGGCGUCUGUAGUCCCAGCUAACUAGGGAGGCUGAGGUGGGAGGAUUGCCUGAGCCCAGGAGGUCUAGGCUGGGGUGAACCGAGAUUUCGCCACUGCACUCCAGCUGGGGGUUGGAGUGAGACCCUGUCUAAAAAAAAUAAGUAAAUAAAGUGAUUAAUCAGUAAAUUUAAUUUAAGCCGCCUGUAAUCCCGCCUGCCAGGGAGGCUGAGCGGGAGGAUCGCUUGAGCCCAGGAGUAGGAGGCCAGCCUGGGAAACAUAGCGAGACCCCGCCUCUUUUACAAAAAGGUAAUUUAAAGUGCAAUUUUUUAGUCUGGAAGCAGAUUUUUGCAAGUACCUUACCGGCAAGAAUUAGGGAACAGGCCCCCCUGUUCACAGCUGGGAAGAAGCUCGAUGAGCUGGGCCGGUGGGAAAUUUGACAACUUACAAAGGCCUGAAGACGCGCAGCGGGGACUCAGCUCGCAGGAAGCCCCGCACGUGUCGGACCCCGGGUACGCACCUGCAGGGCCGCCUCCCCCACGCCGCGCCCGAGAGCGGCUGGGGCCUGCACUGCAAGGAGAGGGCGGGACGCGCGGGCCACGGGGGCGGUGACCGCCCCGUUCUCUCGGCCGCGCCCUCAGCCCUCCCGAAUCGACACCCCAGCAAGAGAAGCCGAGGCCUCAGCGUCCAGAGCAGCUGGACUGCACCCGCUACGGUCCCCGCCCCGUCGCGCGCCGGAAACGCCACAGUCUCCACCCCUGGCCCGCCCCCUCGGCACUUCCGGCGACGCUCUGGGCAGCGGGAGGACAGUGCGCUCGGCGGCGGGAGAGCGGGACGGCCCAGCCGCGGCGCCUUCAGCUCAUCGGUUGCCCGCAGGCGCCGGCCGAGUCCUUCCUGCCGGGCAGGAAGCCCUGCCUCGUGGGGGGCAAGGUCGAGCCGUUGGCGCGCCGGGAUCUGGCUCGAGCCAACUGAGGACCGGGUACCCGCAGGACGUGUCAGGAGGUGUCGAAGGCCCGCUGUGGGGAGGCCACGCGCGUUCCCGUCCGUUCCCCGCGGCGCCCCGCGCUUGUCCCGGGUCCCGCUCGGCUCACGGGACCCUCCAGGCCCCCGGGGCUGUGGCAGCACGCGGGUCCCGAGCGUGGGCUUCCUUGGGGCCGAGAGCUUGGAGCGCCCCAGGCGCUGCCCCCCGCCUCCCUGCAGGACGCCGCCCUCGCGUCUCCGCUGCAGAGAAGCCCUUGCUGCCCGCCUCUCGCGUGCUCUGGGCUCUUUCUCACCAGGGACCGAGCUCUCAUUCGUUCAGCCUUCCCCGGGCAAGAUGCACCUCCUGUCCAAGUCUCUCGCCCUUCCGCCUGCCGCAGACCGAAGGUCACGCAUCUCCAGCUGGAAUGCUGCGAAAGUGACGCUUUUCAUCAUGGGUGCAAAGUGUACAGCUGCAAUGUGGACUUGUUCCCUCUUACAACGAGUAGACAGACCCUCUCUGGGGAGAAAAGAAAGGCUGAAGAACCGAUUCCCAUGAGAGAACCCUAAGAAGACAGCAACAGGGGGCCAGACGCGCCCCUGGAACUGGACCCUGGACUGGGGCGGGAGGGCCACAGCCUUGGGAGCCCAGGUCCCUGCCCGCGCCUCCGACAGUCCCGCGCCGCCGCCACCGGGCAUCUGCCUCUGGGCCUCCACAUCUCGUGCCUGGAACCGCGUUCAUUGCGCACUGCACCAGUAAACACCUGAACACUCCCACCACAUGCUGCACGUUUAUUUGUAACAAAUUAGAAGCUGUUGUAAAAGAUAAAAAUUAAAACACUUAGACUGGG